CUAACCGUAAACGAUGACAACCAGCGAUUAAUCGGCGUUAAUAUAUGACCCGAUUAGCACCUUCCGGGAAACCAAAGUUUUUCGUUUCCGGGGGAAGUAUGGUUGCAAAGCUGAAACUUAAAGGAAUUGACGGAAGGGCACCACCAGGAGUGGAGCCUGCGGCUUAAUUUGACUCAACACGGGAAAACUCACCCGGCCCGGACACCGUAAGGAUUGACAGACUGAGAGCUCUUUCUUAAUUCGGUGGGUGGUGGUGCAUGGCCGUUCUUAGUUGGUGGAGCGAUUUGUCUGGUUAAUUCCGAUAACGAACGAGACUCUGGCCUAUUAAAUAGACGAUAUAUUUAAAAGUAUAUCGCGCUUCUUAGAGGGACAAGCGGCGUCUAGCCGCAUGAAAUAGAGCAAUAACAGGUCUGUGAUGCCCUUAGAUGUCCGGGGCUGCACGCGCGCUACACUGAAAGAAUCAGUGUGCGUUACGCCUAGUUCGGAAGAACCGGGUAACCCAAGUAAAUUCUUUCGUGCUUGGGAUAGGGAAUUGCAAUUAUUUCCCUUAAACGAGGGAAUUCCCAGUAAAUGCGGGUCAUAAGCUCGCGUUG
rnacentral:rRNA from 1 species